CAUGAAAUAAAAAACCUAAAUGUUAUAAAUUUAUCAUCCAACAAAAAAACCCUAAUCAUCUUCUUCCAUCCACCUUCUUACCCUAAAUACCAAACCUAACCAUCAUCGUCGUUUCCUUUGAUCCCUUCCAAUCCACCGUCUCCAACCAUAAACCCACAAUCCAGCCGAACUCACCUGAAGCCGGUUUAUGGCUAGAAUUUUU
rnacentral:lncRNA from 1 species